rnacentral:rRNA from 1 species
ACAUCCCUCUGAAUCCUCUAGAGAUAGAGGCGGCCUUCGGGACAGAGGAGACAGGUGGUGCAUGGUUGUCGUCAGCUCGUGUCGUGAGAUGUUGGGUUAAGUCCCGCAACGAGCGCAACCCUUGAUCUUAGUUGCCAGCACUUUAAGGUGGGCACUCUAAGGUGACUGCCGGUGACAAACCGGAGGAAGGUGGGGAUGACGUCAAAUCAUCAUGCCCCUUAUGACUUGGGCUACACACGUACUACAAUGGCUGGUACAACGGGAAGCGAAGCCGCGAGGUGGAGCCAAUCCUAAAAAGCCAGUCUCAGUUCGGAUUGCAGGCUGCAACUCGCCUGCAUGAAGUCGGAAUUGCUAGUAAUCGCGGAUCAGCAUGCCGCGGUGAAUACGUUCCCGGGUCUUGUACACACCGCCCGUCACACCACGAGAGUUUACAACACCCGAAGUCGGUGGGGUAACCCGCAAGGGAGCCAGCCGCCGAAGGUGGGGUAGAUGAUUGGGGUGAAGUCGUAACAAGGUAACCG